UUCCUGGUGGCUCAGUGGCAGAGAAUCUGCCUGCCAAUGCAGCAGACACAGGUUCAAUCCCUGGUCUGGGAUA
rfam:TPA: Bos taurus chromosome 24, whole genome shotgun sequence.